GAGGGGAGGUUUAAACCAACAAGAACUGCUAAUUCCUGCAUCUGAGCCUAAAAUCUCAGUCCCCUUA
rnacentral:tRNA from 1 species